UAAAAGUGCGCCGCAUUUAUCCGCAAUCUCCCUGAACCUUUUGUAAUCCCAGUCCCUGGGAUAAGCACUUCCUCCACAGAUAAUCAAUUUAGGCCUGAAAUCCAGGGCCUUCUCCUCCAAUCUAUCGUAAUCGAUGUAGCCAGUCUUCGAAUCCACCUUAUAAGGCAAGCUCUCGAAGUAAAUCGAUGUGGCACUGAUUUUCUUCCCACCAGAGGUAUAAUACCCAUGUGUCAAAUGCCCUCCCGAAGGCAAAUCAAGGCCCAUGAUCCUAUCAUGCGGGUUGAGG
rnacentral:lncRNA from 1 species